GCUGUGUGCGGUAGUGCGCACCUGUAAUCCCAGCUCCGGAGGCUGAGGCAGGAGGAUUGCAAAUUCAAAGCCAGCCUCAG
rnacentral:sRNA from 1 species